rnacentral:tRNA from 1 species
AAAUCCAGGGUUUUCGUGACCUUAUCCGAAUUUGCACUUCGGGCUUCUGGAUUUUUUUGGCUGCCGUUGACUGGGCUAUGCCAUGCUGAUCA